rnacentral:rRNA from 1 species
GAUGAACGCUGGCGGCGCGCCUAAUACAUGCAAGUCGAGCGAACAGACGAGGAGCUUGCUCCUCUGACGUUAGCGGCGGACGGGUGAGUAACACGUGGAUAACCUACCUAUAAGACUGGGAUAACUUCGGGAAACCGGAGCUAAUACCGGAUAAUAUGUUGAACCGCAUGGUUCAAUAGUGAAAGACGGUUUUGCUGUCACUUAUAGAUGGAUCCGCGCCGCAUUAGCUAGUUGGUAAGGUAACGGCUUACCAAGGCAACGAUGCGUAGCCGACCUGAGAGGGUGAUCGGCCACACUGGAACUGAGACACGGUCCAGACUCCUACGGGAGGCAGCAGUAGGGAAUCUUCCGCAAUGGGCGAAAGCCUGACGGAGCAACGCCGCGUGAGUGAUGAAGGUCUUCGGAUCGUAAAACUCUGUUAUUAGGGAAGAACAAAUGUGUAAGUAACUAUGCACGUCUUGACGGUACCUAAUCAGAAAGCCACGGCUAACUACGUG